AUUGAACGCUGGCGGCAGGCCUAACACAUGCAAGUCGAGCGAGCGGCGGACGGGUGAGUAAUGUAUGGGGACUGCCCGAUAGAGGGGGAUAACUACUGGAAACGGUGGCUAAUACCGCAUACUAUCGGAUAACCCAUAUGGGAUUAGCUAGUAGGUGGGGUAAAGGCUCACCUAGGCGACGAUCUCUAGCUGGUCUGAGAGGAUGAUCAGCCACAACGGGAAUUAAGAACGGCCCCGAACCCCACGGAAGGAGCAGUUGGGAAUUUUUCCAAAAGGGCGGCAGCCUUAUGCAGCCCAGCCGCGUGUAUGAAAGAGGCCUUAGGGUUGUAAAGUACUUUCAGCGGGGAGGCGUUACCCGCAGAAGAAGCACCGGCUAACUCCGUGCCAGCAGCCGCGGUAAUAC
rnacentral:rRNA from 1 species